CACAAACUCACUUCCUUGACAACUUCCUUCACAACAGCGCUGACGUCUGCGGAGGCUGCAUCGCACUAAAUGCUGUACGGUAACUUCAGAUGUCGCAUUGAUCGUGCAGAGCCUUUUUAUUGUCAACGUGUUAACAGUCAACUUGUGAGUCUGAAAAUUGACACUUGAUGUGAAGGAAUCUAUGCGACCUUCCGGUGACUCCCCUUCCACAACUGAACAAUGGACCAAGUUAUUUGCUAAAAAAGAAAGAAAGAUUAUUGAAAUCGUUCUGUUAGUUGUCAGUCUUGAGUCAUUAAUUUAAUAUUUUGAUAGUAUAGCACAGCAUGCCAUUGUGAUUUAG
rnacentral:lncRNA from 1 species